rnacentral:rRNA from 1 species
AACGAACGCUGGCGGCAGGCCUAACACAUGCAAGUCGAACGCUGUAGCAAUACAAAGUGGCAGACGGGUGAGUAACGCGUGGGAACCUUCCCAAUGGUACGGAAUAGCCCAGGGAAACUUGGGGUAAUACCGUAUACGCCCCUAGGGGGAAAGAUUUAUCGCCAUUGGAUGGGCCCGCGUCGGAUUAGCUAGUUGGGGAGGUAAUGGCUCACCAAGGCAACGAUCCGUAGCUGGUUUGAGAGAAUGACCAGCCACACUGGGACUGAGACACGGCCCAGACUCCUACGGGAGGCAGCAGUGGGGAAUCUUGGACAAUGGGCGCAAGCCUGAUCCAGCCAUGCCGCGUGAGUGUCGAAGGCCUUAGGGUUGUAAAGCUCUUUUGCCGGGGACGAUAAUGACGGUACCCGGAGAAUAAGUCCCGGCUAACUUCGUGCCAGCCGCCGCCGUAA